rnacentral:rRNA from 1 species
GAUGAACGCUAGCGGCAGGCUUAACACAUGCAAGUCGAGGGGCAGCGCGGGAUAGCAAUAUCCUGGCGGCGACCGGCGGACGGGUGCGUAACGCGUGAGCGACAUGCCCGUUGCCCGGGGACAACCGGUGGAAACGCCGACUAAUCCCCGAUGGGAUAUUGUGCCGCAUGGCACGAUAUUGAAAGUUACGGCGGCGACGGAUUGGCUCGCGUCCGAUUAGCUGGUUGGCGGGGUAACGGCCCACCAAGGCUGCGAUCGGUAGGGGUUCUGAGAGGAAGGCCCCCCACAAUGGGACUGAGACACGGCCCAUACUCCUACGGGAGGCAGCAGUGAGGAAUAUUGGUCAAUGGGCGGAAGACUGAACCAGCCAUGCCGCGUGCGGGAAGGAGGCCCUAUGGGCUGUGAACCGCUUUUGCCUGGGGGCAAUAAGGGCGUCGCGCACGUCCGAUGAGAGUACCAGGCGAAUAAGCAUCGGCUAACUCCGUG